rnacentral:rRNA from 1 species
UACGUAGGGGCCAAGCGUUGUCCGGAUUUAUUGGGCGUAAAGAGCUCGUAGGCGGUUCGGCAAGUCGAAUGUGAAAUCUCCACGCUCAACGUGGAGGGGUCAUUCGAUACUGCCGUGACUUGAGUACGGUAGGGGAGUGUGGAAUUCCCGGUGUAGCGGUGAAAUGCGUAGAUAUCUGGAGGAACACCGGUGGCGAAGGCGGCGUCCUGGACCAACACUGACACUGAUGAGCGAAAGCCAGGGGAGCAAACGGG